AAAAAUGCUGCAGUGCCAGGAUGUUUAAGGAAUAAUGCUUCUGGAUAUGUGCAGAAGUAGCUGAAGAGCGGGGAAAUACUCAUUUGAAAAAUUCCUUAACCUUGGCUGAGACCUAAACAGCAGCCCAAUCACAGGUGUGAUUCCAGCAGUUCUCAUGGCCACCUUCCUUCCAUCAGACCUGGUACUCUUCAGGGAGAAUUUGAAGAGUCCUCACUAUGGAGCACAUGAAAAGAAAUGCUUGCAGUUCUGCUAUGGCCCUUUAUCUAGUACUGCCUCUGUUAAGUCAUCUCAGGACAGAGGUCUUGCUGAACUCCUGUUUUUGCUCCCUCGGCCAUACCAUAUCCAUUAAGACUCCCUGCCCAGAUCUCUACCUAUUGUAUACCUAUUUCCUUCUUUUCCUCCUUCACGCUCAUUUUGUCCACUGUAGGGCAUCCACUGACAGAAACCACCUGCUUACUUGA
rnacentral:lncRNA from 12 species